rnacentral:rRNA from 1 species
GACGAACGCUGGCGGCGUGCCUAAUACAUGCAAGUAGAACGCUGAAGCGAGGAGCUUACUCUUCUUGGAUGAGUUGCGAACGGGUGAGUAACGCGUAGGUAACCUGCCUUGUAGCGGGGGAUAACUAUUGGAAACGAUAGCUAAUACCGCAUAACAAUGGAUGACACAUGUCAUUUAUUUGAAAGGGGCAAUUGCUCCACUACAAGAUGGACCUGCGUUGUAUUAGCUAGUAGGUGAGGUAAUGGCUCACCUAGGCGACGAUACAUAGCCGACCUGAGAGGGUGAUCGGCCACACUGGGACGGAGACACGGCCCAGACUCCUACGGGAGGCAGCAGUAGGGAAUCGUCGGCAAUGGGGGCAACCCUGACCGAGCAACGCCGCGUGAGUGAAGAAGGUUGUCGGAUCGGAAAGCUCUGUUGUAAGUCAAGAACGGGGGUGAGAGUGGAAAGUUCACACUGUGACGGUAGCUUACCAGAAAGGGACGGCUAACUACGUG